rnacentral:rRNA from 1 species
CCUACGGGUGGCAGCAGUGGGGAAUAUUGGACAAUGGGCGAAAGCCUGAUCCAGCCAUGCCGCGUGUGUGAAGAAGGCCUUCGGGUUGUAAAGCACUUUCAGUGGGGAAGAAAGCCUUGGGGCUAAUACCCUCGAGGAAGGACAUCACCCACAGAAGAAGCACCGGCUAACUCCGUGCCAGCAGCCGCGGUAAUACGGAGGGUGCGAGCGUUAAUCGGAAUUACUGGGCGUAAAGCGCGCGUAGGCGGUCUGAUAAGCCGGUUGUUAAAGCCCCGGGCUCAACCUGGGAACGGCAUCCGGAACUGUCAGGCUAGAGUGCAGGAGAGGAAGGUAGAAUUCCCGGUGUAGCGGUGAAAUGCGUAGAGAUCGGGAGGAAUACCAGUGGCGAAGGCGGCCUUCUGGACUGACACUGACGCUGAGGUGCGAAAGCGUGGGUAGCAAACAGGAUUAGAUACCCUAGUAGUC